rnacentral:lncRNA from 1 species
CACAGAACCUGCUUGCAUCUGACCCUCUACAUAUGCAUGGUGCUGCACUCUGCUCUGGAAACAGCAACAGGAUGGUGACAGAUCACUCUCACUGAGUAUUUUUCACCUUCAUAUGACUCUCGGC